UCCUAUCUCAUUGUCAGUGCUUUUAGAAACCCUUAGCCGCUGGUAAUCAAUCUUUGUCUAGACGCUGCUCCCUCAUUUCCUUCGCCUCCUGGUACAAUUAAAAAAGACUUAGGGUUUUGUUUGAUUAUUUGUUUGUUUUAUAAUUGGCACUAGAGACCUAUGAUGAUAUUUAGUAUUAAAUCAAGGGAAAGGACGAUUAGGGUUUUAUAUUUUGUUGGCUUUGUUUGAUCUGUUAGACAUUUUGUGUAUUUUCGGUUGCUAGGCGUUAAUUUGUUUAAUAUCCUCUGCAACUUGACAAAAUUAUUCGAUUAAUUUUAAUUGUAACCACGUUUGUCUUCUGUAUGUUUACUCAGAUUUUCAAUCGGAUUUGUAUAAAUCUUUGUUGUAUUAGGUUUUGUUGAAGCUUUCAAAGUUAGAUGACUUUUGUAAUUAAUAGCACAUUAUUUUUUAUUUUAUUUUUUCUGUUAUGAUUAACGAACGACACAAUGGAGUUUGGUCACAGAACCAAUGGAAUUGGACGCAGAACCAAUAGAGUUGGUCCCAGAACCGGUAGAGGCCGUUUCGAAGUCCAUAUGCGAGUUGAGCAUCCAAGAAUCAUCAUCUGAAGAAGAAGAUUCUGAUGAAUCAUCAGAAGGAUUAUGGUCUGAUGAAUCAUCAGAAGAAUUAUCGACUGAUGAAUCAGAUAAUAAAAUACAUCCUCCUUUACGGAAAAAGAAAAAGAAAAAGAAAGGUGAUGAGUGACAGAAGAAGAAGUUUGAGCCAACUGAAUUUUAACUAUUUCAUUCAUCCCUUUUAAUUAUUUAUUAUAAUAAUAUGUUUUUGUAGGGUCUCCAGUCCAGCUUAAUCUCUUUUAUCCUGACUGGAUCACCAGUUACACUCUGAAGAAAAAACUUAUAAUUAGAAGUAGCUAGUGGUCUUGAUCUUAAAAAGGUCGAUGAUGAAUUUGGCCAACUGAAGCUGCCACCAAAGUUUGAUACUCACUGUAUUCUUCAGUUUACCUAUUGCCCGGGAAAAAGCUUUACCUUCAAUUGGGUUAGACAAUGUUUUGGUGAAGAAGAAGAUGAUGAUGAUGAUAAGCCUAUUAUUGUCAGAGAUGUUUCUGACCGUUUUGCUCUAAAAAUGCAUAUUCUUAGCAAGGAUCUCACUCACUCUGUCCCCCUCAAUGUCCCCCCCAAUUGGGGAAUGCAAUCUGAUGGGAGUAGACGAUUAUGAGUGGAAUGAAAGCUUUGUUGAGUUUCACAGAGGCUAAACCCAGGCUCAUUUCUCAAGUGGUUGAAUUUUCAAGUUGACUAGUUUGAGUGGUACGGUCUGUGUCUUGAUUCAGCACCAUUCAUCCAGGUCUUAAUAAAUUUGGACUUAGGGCUCCAUGGAAACAUAUUAUAUUCCAUUAAAUUAGUUGUGUUUGAUUGUGUGUUCUUAUGAGCAUAAAUUCAUGAUAAAAUAGAUAUGGCUAAGAAUGCCAAUUUUGCAAAUAAGAUGAAGGGUAUACUAUUUCAGCUA